CUGCAAUGUUCUCAGUGCAUCCUUUGGUUCUCCGAGCCGAAAGAAGUCACUAGCUGAAAAAGAGUUUAUACUCUGAUCACACAGUAACAUUGCAAUAAAAGCUUAGCUCGAGAUGCGUGUGCCGUUCUGCUUUUAAUGCGAUCUGGUUCCUUUUCUCCUCGGGACAAUU
rnacentral:snoRNA from 15 species